AUUGAACGCUGGCGGCAGGCCUAACACAUGCAAGUCGAGCGGCAGCGGGAAAGUAGCUUGCUACUUUUGCCGGCGAGCGGCGGACGGGGGAGUAAUGCGUGGGAAUCUACCCAUCCCUACGGAACAACUCCGGGAAACUGGAGCUAAUACCGCGUAAUACCUAAGGGUGAAAGGUGUGGAGCAAUCAACAUGCCUUUGGGGGAGCCUGCGUCAGAUUAGCUAGUUGGUGGGGUAAAGGCCUACCAAGGCGAAGAUCUGUAGCUGUUCUGAGAGGGAGAGCGGCCACACUGGGACUGAGAUACGGCCCAGACUCCUACGGGAGGCAGCAGUGGGGAAUAUUGGACAAUGGGCGUAAGCCUGAUCCAGCAAUGCCGCGUGUGUGAAGAAGGCCUGCGGGUUGUAAAGCACUUUAGUUGGGGAGGAAGGGGAUUGUGUUAAUAGCACAGUUCAUUGACGUUACCCAAAGAAUAAGCACCGGCUAACUACGUGCCAGCAGCCGCCGUAAGAC
rnacentral:rRNA from 1 species